rnacentral:rRNA from 1 species
AUUGAACGCUGGCGGCAGGCUUAACACAUGCAAGUCGAGCGGAGAUGAGGUGCUUGCACCUUAUCUUAGCGGCGGACGGGUGAGUAAUGCUUAGGAAUCUGCCUAUUAGUGGGGGACAACAUUCCGAAAGGAAUGCUAAUACCGCAUACGCCCUACGGGGGAAAGCAGGGGAUCUUCGGACCUUGCGCUAAUAGAUGAGCCUAAGUCGGAUUAGCUAGUUGGUGGGGUAAAGGCCUACCAAGGCGACGAUCUGUAGCGGGUCUGGGAGGAUGAGCCGCCACACUGGGACUGAGACACGGCCCAGCCUCCUACGGGAGGCAGCAGUGGGGAAUAUUGGACAAUGGGCGGAAGCCUGAUCCAGCCAUGCCGCGUGUGUGAAGAAGGCCUUUUGGUUGUAAAGCACUUUAAGCGAGGAGGAGGCUACCUGGAUUAAUACUCUAGGAUAGUGGACGUUACUCGCAGAAUAAGCACCGGCUAACUCUGUGCCAGCCGCCGCAGUAACAC